GUAGGAUCCGAGCGUUAUCCGAAUUUACUGGGCGGUAAAGCGCGUGUAGGGCGGGCCGGGGGUAAGGUUGGGACGUGAAAGCUCCUGGCUCAACUAGGAGAGGUCGUUCAAAACUGCCUGGCUAGAGGGCGACAGAGGGAGGUGGAAUUCCCGGUGUAGUGGUGAAAUGCGUAGGUAUCGGGAGGAACACCAGUGGCGAAGGCGGCCUCCUGGGUCGCCCCUGACGCUCAGACGCGAAAGCUAGGGGAGCAAACGGGAUUAGAUACCCCGGUAGUCCUAGCUGUAAACGAUGUGGACUUGGCGUUGGUGGGGUCAAAUCCAUCAGUGCCGGAGCUAACGCGAUAAGUCCACCGCCUGGGGACUACGACCGCAAGGUUA
rnacentral:rRNA from 1 species